ACCUGAGUUGUUACAAUGUUUCUUAUUUUAUCAGUUUUUUAUCUACACUGCUGUUUACAAUCCUCUAAAAUCUUGACCCUUUACUUUUCCUCUCUGUCUGUCUGUCUCUCUCUCUCUCUCGGUCUCUCUGUCUCUCUCUCUGCCUCUCUCUCUCUCUCUGUCUCUCUCUCCCUGUCUCUCCAUCACCUCUUCAGUUUCAGCACAGCAUACCAGUGCAUCUACUACUCCCCAGAGCACACAGCCAAGGCCCAGGAGGUGUUGCACAGUGUGGGCCAUCUCCAACCUCUCAUCUCGGGCCUGGCAGACCAGCUGCUCCAGGCCGCCCAGCAGCACUCCAUGGCUGGGCUGAGGGAGGCACUCAAGACCCUGGCUGGAAAGACGGAGCAGUUUGUGCACGCGCUCAAAGACGAGCUGGUGAAGAGCGCCUUGCUGGCCCUCCACGCUGCACAGCCCGGCUACGUAACGAAGAACCAGAACCAGACCCUGCCAGGCCACCAGGGUCACAGCCACCAGGACCACCAGAGUCCCAGCCAGAGGGGUCAACAAGGCCAGAGUCCACCCCAGAACCCAGGCCACAGUCCUGGGCAGCCAUCGGCUACAGACAGCCCUGUGGUGGUGUGUAAUAAUGUGGAUGGUGGCUCCCAGACGGCUCCCAUCAGAGAAGACGGGCAGGCACCUCUGAAGCGCCAGGACUCCAUACCGUGCCAUAAGGAGUACGACGAGGAGGAAUGGGACAGGGUGUGGGCCGACGUGGCGAAGAGCCUCAACUGUGUCAUCGCCAUGGUGGACAAGCUCCAGGAGCAGGAACCAAUCAACAACAACCAGGAACAACCAAUCCCUAAGCAGGUCCUGGCUGAUGUCAUCACCUCCCACAACCCUGAAGGGGAUUGGCGGGAGCAGCUCUGCCCCCUGGUGGUGAGGUUGAAGGAGUGCGUCGCGGAGGUGGUGGUGCGGGCCAGGAGGGCCAUGACCUUCGUCCUGCUGCAGGAGGCGGCCUGCAGCAUCCCCCAGGGACUGUUCCUCAAGCAGAGGAGGGAUGUGGUCUUCAGUCAGGCGCUAGCUGCGUUGGCGUGUGGUUUCGUCAUGAGGCUGUACGCGGGGAUGGCGGAUAAGGGCUUCCUCAGGCAGCUCCACCUAGUGGGCCUGGUGGCACAGUUCGAAAGCCUGCUAAGCACCUACAGUGAGGAGAUUGGCAUGCUGGAGGACAUGGAGGUGGGAAUCUCAGACCUGCACCGGGUGGCCUUCAAGAUCACCCAGGCCAAGACAGACGACCCCUGUGACCUGCAACCUGUAGUCAUCGGCAGGCGCGACCAUUAUACUGUAGAAGUGCCAUUACCGCGGCUGGUCUUCCAGACGUUACCCCAUGAGAUGAAAGAGGGAAAGGCGUUGCAGGUUUACCCGGUGCUCUUCAACGUGGGAAUCAAUGAACAGCAGACAAUAGCAGACAGAUUCGGAGACAUCUCUUUGCAAGAGAGGAUAAACCAGAGGAACUUUGAGAUUUUAGACAGUUAUUACAAAUCACUAAGCGAUAAGGUGCCAUCAGAAUGUCUGCCAUGUUUUCAAACCCAGACGGACCUGAAAGAUUUACUUGGAACCCUGGGCCAGAAUGUAGUGACGAAGAAGAGAAAGAAUGUGGAGAUACUGUGGCUCGCUGGAACGAUCUGCCGGCGGCUGAACGGGAUCAGGUUCACCAGCUGUAAAAGUGCCAAAGACAGGACGUCGAUGUCUGUAACCCUAGAGCAGUGUGCCCUGCUGAGAGACGAGCACCAGCUCAACAAGGAUUACUUCAUACGAGCCCUGGACUGCAUGCGGAGUGUCAAGAGGGUUCAGACAGAGUGACACUGGAAGAUAGCUGUAGGCUUGACCCGUCUAUGCAAAGUUGAACCGGUAACUAUCAAUCUUCAGUAAAUACGUUUAAGACCUGAGCAGCUGUAAUUAUCAAAUCAAAUUUGAUUUGUCACAUGCACCGAAUUUAACGGGUGUAGACUUUACCGUGAACUGCUUACUUACAAGCCCUUAACCAACAAUGCAGUUCAAGAAAUAGAGAUAAUUAAGUAUGAUGGAUCUUUCUUUCGACAUAGUUUUGUCAGAAUAGCCUGUAUACUGUGCACCACAUAAUGUAAACGGUCAGUUGAAUGUGGCUAGUUAGUGAUAUUCCCAUGAGUAAAAAAGUGUGGAUCAAAUAUCUGGGGAAGUCAAAUGCCAUUCUUUUGCUUUCAGAAAUGCUAUCACACCCACUGUCUGCAACUGCAUACACUGUGUGUUCACAUGUCUAAGGGGGAUACCUAGUCAGUUGUCCAACUGAAUGUAUUCAACUGAAAUGUGUCUUUCGCAUUGAAUCAGAGAGGUGCGGGGGGCUGCCUUAAUUGACUUCCACGUCUUCGGCACCCGGGGAACAGUGGGUUAACUGCCUUGCUCAGGGGCAGAACGACAAAGGUAACAGGAGCAACAAAGAUACAGCUCAGAUGAUCACUUAAGCAGAGUCUGAGAGAACUAAGUCAUUUCUAAAACACUGUUGGAUAACACUGGUUUAUGUUUGGAGAUAAAGGAGUGCUUUGAUAAUAUCGAGGGUCAUUAUGAGGCUUGUAGAACCGGUUAUGCUGAGACAGUGUUGUGGCUUUGGAGCUGUCCAAGAAUAAACCGGCUCUACAACAAGCCUACAACAAGCCUACGGCUAUAAAAUGUCAUCAUUAGAGACUGUGCCUACUAAUAAUUGAAAACUUCAGAGUUAAUCCAAAUAACUUAACAGAUCUUCAUUGUAAAGGGUUUAAACACUGUUUCCCAUGCUUUUUCAAUGACCCAUAAACAAUUAAUGAACAUGCACCUGUGGAACGGACGUUAAGACACUAACAGCUUAUAGACGGUAGGCAAUUAAGGUCACAGUUAUGAAAACUUAGGACACUAAAGAGGCCUUUCUACUGACUCUAAAAAACAACAAAAGAAAGAUGCUCAGGGUCCCUGCUCAUCUGCGUGAAUGUGCCUUAGGCAUGCGCAAGGAGGCAUGAGGACUGCAGAUGUGGCCAGGGCAAUACAUUGCAAUGUCUGUACAGUGAGACACCUAAGACAGCGCUACAGGGAGACAGGAUGGACAGCUGAUUGUCCUCGCAGUGGCAGACCACGUGUAACAACAGCACACAGCACACAGCACACAGCACACAGCACACAGCACACAGCACACAGCACACAACACACAGCACACAACACACAGCACACAACACACAACACACAACACACAACACACAACACUGCACAGGAUCGGUACAUCCGAACAUCACACCUGCGGAACAGGUACAGGAUGGCAACAACAACUGCCCGAGUUACACCAGGAAUGUACAAUCCCUCCAUCAGUGCUCAGACUGUCCGCAAUAGGCUGAGAGAGGCUGGACUGAGGGCUUGUAGGCCUGUUGUAAGGCAGGUCCUCACCAGACAUCACCGGCAUCAACAUUACCUACGGGCACAAACCCACUGUCGCUGGACCAGACAGGACUGGCAAAAAGUGCUCUUCACUGACGAGUCGUGGUUUUGUCUCACCAGGGGUGAUGGUCAGAUUCGCGUUUAUCGUCGAAGGAAUGAGCGUUACACCGAGGCCUGUACUCUGGAGCGGGGUCAAUUUGGUGGUGGAGGGUCCUUCAUGGUCUGGGGCCGUGUGUCACAGCAUCAUCGGACUGAGCUUGUUGUCAUUGCAGGCGAUCUCAACAUCCUUCUCCCUCAGGUAGUACUCUUCCUGCAGGCUCAUCCUGACAUGAGCCUCCAGCAUGACAAUGCCACCAGCCAUACCUCUCGUUCUGUGCAUGAUUUCCUGCAAGACAGGCCAUGGCCAGCGAAGAGCCCUGAUCUCAAUCCUAUUGAGCAUGUCUGGGACCUAUUAGAUCGGAGGGUGAGGGCUAGGGCCAUUCCCCCAAGAAAUGUCCGGGAACUUGCAGGUGCCUUGGUGGAAGUGGGUUAACAUCUCACAGCAAGAACUGGCAAAUCUGGUGUAGUCCAUGAGGAGGAGAUGCACUGCAGAAUUUAAUGCAGCUGGUGGCCACACCAGAUACUGACUGUUACUUUUGAUUUUGACCCCCCCCCCCCCUUUGUUCAGGGACACAUUAUUCAUUUCUGUUAGUCACAUGUCUGUGGAACUUGUUCAGUUUUUGUUCAGUUUAUGUCCCAGUUGUUGAAUCUUGUUAUGUUCAUACAAAUAUUUACAGAUGUUAAGUUUGCUGAAAAUAAAUGGAGUUCACAGUGAGAGGACGUUUAUUUUUUUGCUGAGUUAUUAAAUUCUAUUAUAAUCCACCUUUUACAUAGGAUGCAAAAUGCAGCAGUGACUCUUGAAACCUCGAUAAGUUGCGACAACCAGUGUUUACUAGUAGCUAGUUAACCAGCAGCAAUCCCGAGUUGACAUGCUCCUCUGUGUUGGAGAAAUUCUCUUGACGCAUCCGUCCGUGCCUGCGUCUGUGCACUGGCCUUUUAACUAUACCAAAGCCUAGGACCAAGAGGCAGCCUUUAGUUCCUAUGCUCCCAGCCUCUAGAAUAGCCUGCCAGAAAACCCGAGGGGGGGGAGGGGGGCGAAACUGUGGACAUAUUCAAAAGAGAUUUUAAAACACACCUGUUUAAUUCUGCUUUUCCUUAGUGCUUUUUAGUCUUUCCGUUUUACUGUCAUUCUCUAGUGUUUUAUACUCUUAUGUUUGUUGUGUAGUAAAUAUUUCCCUUUUUAUUUUCAUAGUUUUUUAUUUAUGUUUUAACACUGGGCAUUGCAUUCAUGUCUGAAAUUACGCUAUAUAAAUAAAGCUUGAUUUGAUUUGCUGGUGGUAUGUGGCCCCUAGGGGCCCCUACUUAACUAACCCACUGGUUCUUUCUGAAUAUUCUGCUCUUUUCUCUGACUGACAGUGUACUGCCUAACAGUCUCUGUGGCUUCGAACAAAAAUUGGGGUUGAAGGGAAUAGACGGCAAGCUAUUUUGAUAUUGGUUAAUGACCCCUACAGCUUUUUCCUCCAUCACACAUCAAGGUUAAGUGUAAGUGGUAAAUUAAUUAAAUCCAUGGACUGCUUCCACAUAGAACAUUUUUGUUGACAUAAGAAGGAUGGCUCUGUGGAAGCUCCAUUAGUUAUGAAUGGGCCUUGUUUCAUCUUGGUAUGAUUAUAGUAAUUGAAUAUUUAUAUGUUGUGUGGCAACCAACCCUUUGUAUUGACGACAGGCUUCUAGAUUGACAGUUUAAUCGAGACCAUGUAAACCAUUUACAAAGAAAGUGUAAAGAACCUGGAUCUUGAAAGAAAGAUAUUGGGGGGUAAAAAAUGUAGAAUCUAGUCUCAAAACCAAUCAACAUGUUUAAAAAAAUAUAUACAUUUUUAACCUUUAUUUAACUAGGCAAGUCAGUUAAGAACAAAUUCUUAUUUACAAUGACGGCCUACCCUGGCCAAACCCGGACAAAACUAGGCCAAUUGUGCCCCGCCUUAUGGGACUCCCAAUCACGGUCAGAUGUGGUCUAACAUGGUAUACAGCAAAGAAGUUAGGAACUUUGUUAACUUGCCAAGUUUGUUCUCUACUUUGCUUUACUACUUUCUCUCACCUUGUAGUGACUCAUGUAUAGACGGGUUGGCUGACAAAGUCACGAAAAGGAUGAUGUGACCGGAAGUUGUGUGUUGUUAUGAUUCUGAUAGCUAGCGUCAAUGACAAAAAGCUGCCAUGUGGGAAACCUUAUGUGGCUAGUUGUUAUUGACACCAUGUCUUGUUUUGAGGUGUUUUGACUAAAUAUAGUUUGCAUGUUGUUAACAGUCUAAGGCAACCACGUCUGUUUUUCCCCAUAGUGGCGCAUGCGUCGGUUUUAUUGCUAAACAACCAACCCCUCCAUACAGUAUAGUUGUCUGUGAGCAAGUAUAGUUGGUUGCAUUAACCACAGACAUACUGGGAGUAUUUAUGUUCAUGAAUUCAUUCCCAGUGAUACACUUGACUCAUUACCAUAUUUUCCACUGCUGUAGGCAUACAGUACAGUGCUUAAAGUAACUACCCAGUAAAAAUCUGUUUUAAAAGUGAAUCACCUAUGAACGCUUAUCCAAAUAAUGUUUUUGGCUCCCCCUUCUCGUAUUUGUGGCGAAAGCAUAAAUAGGAGGAAAAAGCACUUUAAAAACCCCACCUCAAACUUCUCAAACAGACAAUUUAAAAAACGCUUGCUAUUUCCUCAUGAGGAGGAUGAGCUGGCCAAUCAGUGGUCUAGAGGAGGAUGAGCUGGCCAAUUAGCCGUCUAGAGGAGGAUGAGCUGGCCAAUUAGCCGUCUAGAGGAGGAUGAGCUGGCCAAUUAGCCGUCUAGAGGAGGAUGAGCUGGCCAAUUAGCCGUCUAGAGGAGGAUGAGCUGGCCAAUUAGCCGUCUAGAGGAGGAUGAGCUGGCCAAUUAGCCGUCUAGAGGAGGAUGAGCUGGCCAAUUAGCCGUCUAGAGGAGGAUGAGCUGGCCAAUUAGCCGUCUAGAGGAGGAUGAGCUGGCCAAUUAGCCGUCUAGAGGAGGAUGAGCUGGCCAAUUAGCCGUCUAGAGGAGGAUGAGCUGGCCAAUUAGCCGUCAGUCUCAAUUCGUUGGUCAAUUCGUUGGUCAGUCUCAAUUCGUUGGUCCAUGGACUCUACAGGGUGUCAGCAGCGUUCCUCAGGGAUGCUGGCCCAUGUUGACCCCAAUGCUUCCCACAGUUGUCAAGUUGGCUGGAUGUCCUUUGGGUGGUGGACCAUUCUUGAUAAACACAGGAAACUGUUGAGCGUGGAAAAAACAGCAGCAUUGCAUUCUAAGGAAUCUUUGUUUAAUCUGUGCACCAAUUGUAACAUUUCAGCACUUUGCCCUCGAAUGGAUUGAAUGAAAUUCAACCUCAAACAAAGAGUGAUUAUCAGAGCUUGAGAAUGGAUAUGUGUUCCAGUGUCAAGAGGGUUCAGACAGAGUGACACUGGAAGAUAGCUGUAGGCUUGACCCGUCUAUGCAAAGUUGAACCGGGAGGGAUGUCGGAUUGAGAAUGUGCAAAAGAAUAUUAAAUGCCGGAAGUAUGCCUUCAACAUGCUGCAGCUGAUGGCAUUCCCCAA